AGAUUUAUUCCUAAUUAAGAAUGACUGACUUAACAAAUUAAAAUUAACCAAGUUGAAAGGAUUUCCCUGUUCUUUUUCCUCUUUAUCAGUCUUUUGAGAUUGCAAGAAUCCAACUUAUCCUUUGCUUCCCUCUUCUCAUUAUUCUUCCCUGGACAAAAAAAACAUUUGGAUGUACAGUCCAUCAUAUUAGCAUAUAUAAAGAGGAUUGUUUAGAGGAUUGGAAGCAUAAACUGGGAAGCAUUGAAAGUGGAAACCUACAACUCUGCCAUGUUCACAGGUAUCUGCAAACACAGGCAUCAAGUAGUCAAAACAUCUAACUGUAUCAUCACAACAUAACACACUUUGACAAUAUAUAAUUGAAUGAAAAGAAUCAGAAAAGAAUUAAAAUCAUCAAAUGUGAUGUUCUCCAAAAACCAUGAAUAACUCAAAUUCAAAUCUCGGCAACCGUCUCUAUGCAAGUAUAAAGGUAAGGUGUGUAUAUAGACCCCCGGGUUCAUUUCUAUUAUUUAUGUGCUUCAGUUGUCAACCAUCAGCAAUUUGACAAAUAGAAUACUGGGAGGAGACAAAAGCAACUGAAGAAAUUGCUCUCCUGCUAUCAGUUUACUGAAGUAAUAUUCUCCAGAAAUCAUGAAUAACAUGACAUCUCCCAGAAACAAUAGACCAACAAGAAAGACAUAUUUUAAAAUCAAAUAACUCAUUCAGCCAAAACCAUAUAUAAGAAAGACAAAU
rnacentral:lncRNA from 1 species